rnacentral:rRNA from 1 species
UGUGGAACUUAAAAAUCAGCAGCCACCCCGCAACAAAACCCAGCCCACUAGGCCCACCACUAGCAAGAUGUUGGCUCACAUUUUUCGGUUGGGGCGACCUUGGAGAAAAGUAAAUCCUCCAAAAACAAGACCACUCCCUCUUAACUAAGAGCAACCCCUCAACGUACUAACAGUAACCAGACCCAAUACAAUUGAUCAAUGGACCAAGCUACCCCA